UUCGAGUCGGGUUGUUUGAGAAUGCAGCCCAAAGUGGGUGGUAAACUCCAUCCAAGGCUAAAUACAAGCACGAGUCCGAUAGCAAACAAGUACCGUGAGGGAAAGUUGAAAAGUACUUUGAAGAGAGAGUAAACAGUACGUGAAACCGCAUGCAGGUAAACGGGUGGCGUCAAGCUGCAAUCCUGGAGAAUUCAGCCGGCUAGUGUGUCGUGAAUGCGCCUGUGCAUCAUCAGUCGGUGUAAGAUGUGAUAGUCUACCGGGCAACGGUAGGCCGGGCCGCAAGGUUCGGUUAUGUGUACCGGGUGGAAGCCGGAGCAUGCUAUUCAUCUGUUGGACUGGCUAGCCGGUGCACUUUCUCUAUGGUGAACACCACGAUCGGUGGAAUUGCCAGUCUGCUGUAGUCAAGUCGUAUUCGAUGGGUUCUUGUAAUUCAUUGGGUGCGAUCACAGGCAAUGUCAGUACACGGCGUAGAGGUGUCUCGGCAUCUCUGCGUGUUAUCGGUUACUGCUUGUCAACGGGCCUGCCUAGUGGUUGUUGUAAUCGCCGCUGGGUGGCUUGGUGGACUACAGUGGUAAGAAUAACUGUGCAAGGCACCGGGGAUGUCGGCCUCAAUUGCACUCUGCAUACACAUUACAAGUGGUGUGGGGUGCCAUCGCUGCCUGCUUACUGUUGAGUCUGAUUGUCGUGUUGCCUGCACAAAGUAGGUCCGGCAGUGGCUUGAUGUAAGGUGGGUAGUUGGUGGUGCUUCGCGUGCAGGGUGUUGUGGGCCAAGUAAUCAGUGGUGCAGUGGUAGACGAGCUACCCGACCCGUCUUGAAACACGGACCAAGGAGUUCAACAUGUAUGCGAGUCAAUGGGUCCUACGAAACCCAAAGGCGCAGUGAAAGUAAAGCUUCGACUUGUUCUCGGAGUGAGGUGAGAUCCUGCCGUACUCGCAUCAGCCUAUCAGGCUAAGAGCGGUGGGCGCAUCACCGGCCCGUCCCAUGAUGUGGCCGCUGGC
rnacentral:rRNA from 1 species